UAUAUACUCCCUCCGUUCGGAAUUACUUGUCUUGGAAAUGGAUGUAUCUAGAACUAAAAUACAUCUAGAUACAUUCAUUUCUGCGACAAGUAAUUCCGAACGGAGGGAGUAUAUU
rnacentral:pre_miRNA from 1 species